CUUGUUUCACAUAACAAUUCAGUGUCUCAACAUGGCAUAAGAAAUAAAUGAGAAAUUAUAUUUGGUUUUUAAUGAUUUCUUUAUGAAACAAAGGGCUGAAUCCAUUUGGAAUUGCUAUAGUUUUCUCAAUUUUUGGUUUGGUUUCUUUACUUGGAGCAUUUUUGGUUUGAAAUCUUGGAUGAGUUUAAGAAGCUAUAGUUAUAGUUUUCCCAUCUACAAUGUGAUUUCCUACUUCUCAACAGAUUAAACCAAACAUGCUAUUAGAAGUUUGGUUGAAUCCUUAAGGUUUCUUUUGUUAAAGAAUUAGUCUUGCUGUGGGAUCAAAACCAAAUAUGAGUGAGGAGGAUAGGGUCUAAACAUAUUACAGCAAUUGAAAAACCAAAACUUUUGAAAUACAGGACCAAGACCAGAAUAAAAAUUGACAAAAAGACCUCAAGAAUUAGAACUGAGUUUUUACUGCAAAGAGCAAUUGAUGUUGUGGAGGCUUGGUUUUCAAUAUUUUUCAUGUUAAAGAAACUUGAUGAAUGGUAUGUUUGUGCUCACAUGAAACCUUAUGUAAUUUGGUGCUAUGAAAAAGUGAAAUCUUUUUUUAUAGCAGUUUAAGCAAAAAUAAC
rnacentral:lncRNA from 1 species